AGUCGCCGGAUCUACACCCUCCUUGUCCGGAUCUGUCUCGACGUAGAGUCCCUCCGUCUGGGCCCUCCCCUUUCCGGCGGCGCUGGCACGGCCUUCUGUAUCGGCGCUCGCUCGCGAGGAGGCCCUGACUGGCCGCGCGACAGGGAGGCGCUGGCCGGCCGGCCGUGGCCUCAGUGCCCGCGCCCGCUCCUCCGCACACCCCGGCAAGGAUGGAGGGAAGGAGAAGGCCCCGGCCAAGUCCGGAGGCGGAAGAAGAAGAAGAAAGUGGAGCAAGGGCAAGAAGAAGGAGAAGGUCAACAACGCCAUGCUCUUCGACCAGCCCACCACCUAUGACAAGCUGUUCUCCGAGGUAAUCUACCUAUCCUCCUGUAGCUUAUACUACGUAUUGUGUUGGCUUCGAUGUUUGUCAAUUUCUGGAAAUAGAAGCUAUGAGAAGUAGGCAAUGUCUGGUCUGGAAUUAGUGAGCAGGAGCACUUACGUCUGUCAUCUUGUAAUGUUGCCGUUAUUUGACACUAUCAUCAGCAGCAACAUGAAUUUCUGAUAUUGAUGCAAGAAGAAUAUGUUGGGUUUGUUUGCUGAAAUUCUUUGGUUCGUUACUGACUGUUCAUUCUGAGAUGUUCAUAACUAAUUGCAUCUCUUAAGUAGUCAAAGUAACUGAAAUGGAUAUACUGAAAUGAAUAUAUACCAAUUCUCUGUCUUUUUUUUUCGAAAUAGCAUUUCUCUGUCUUUAAGCUUUCUGAAUUUAGACACUGUUUACCAGCGCUCUCAAUGGUUGCUAUGGCAUACCAUCGUUCCACUUCAAGGGUCGUCAGGGUAAUGGAUAUGCUUGGUCCCAGCCUUUGGGAUGGUUCUGAAAAAUUAUUUUGGGAGCAUCAAAAGGGUGGGGAAGGCAAAGGUAAUCACAAAAUGUUAAGUAUUCAAAUUUCUUAUGGGUUAGAUAAGUAGCAUUGUGGCACUUGUAAAGGCUCGAGUUCCCUAUAUUUUUUAACCAAUUAAGUGGAAAUAUAGUUCUUGAAUCAGUUCUUUGAUUCUUUCUUACAGUGGUUAUAACAGAUGACAUUUCAUUGGUUAUUUAAACCUAUUCAGUGCUUAACUACUCAUGCUAUCCAAAAAAACACUUUCACAACAUUAUCUCAAUGUAUCUGUAUCCUUCAAGCUUGCAUUCUGUCUAAGCCCAAGCAGUAUGACAACAAGAUGCAGGUGCUACUGUAAGUCAUAUUGCAUCAGUUUUGGUUUUUUAGCCACUUGACGUUGUGUUUAGCUCUCUAUACUCACAUUACUUCGUUUGCAGGUUUUGCAUUAUAUUGUUGUAGCAGUUCUAGAGCCUCCUCUUUUCCUGAUAGAAGAUGGUAACAGUGUGCUACUGGAUAAGAAUAUAGCCAAGCAAAGAGCCAGGUUGCUUCUUGCUGUGUGAGUUGCUUGAGAGAGAAGAGAGCAGAAAUGAACUUCUCCAUCAGAAUAGGAAGAGCGGAAAAGGAAAUUUGC